AACGAACGCUGGCGGCAUGCCUAACACAUGCAAGUCGAACGAGACCUUCGGGUCUAGUGGCGCACGGGUGCGUAACGCGUGGGAAUCUGCCCCUUGGUUCGGAAUAACUUCGGGAAACUGAAGCUAAUACCGGAUAAUGACGUAAGUCCAAAGAUUUAUCGCCAAGGGAUGAGCCCGCGUAGGAUUAGCUAGUUGGUGGGGUAAAGGCUCACCAAGGCGACGAUCCUUAGCUGGUCUGAGAGGAUGAUCAGCCACACUGGGACUGAGACACGGCCCAGACUCCUACGGGAGGCAGCAGUGGGGAAUAUUGGACAAUGGGCGAAAGCCUGAUCCAGCAAUGCCGCGUGAGUGAUGAAGGCCUUAGGGUUGUAAAGCUCUUUUACCCGGGAAGAUAAUGACUGUACCGGGAGAAUAAGCCCCGGCUAACUCCGUGCCAGCAGCCGCGGUAAU
rnacentral:rRNA from 1 species